GCCUUUGCCAAGCUUAGGACACUAGUGGGGGUAGGUUUGAUGGAACAUUAACAAAACCAGUGCUUCUUGUGAACCAUCUGAAUGAAGUACCAUGUUCCAGGACAGUUCUGUAUGAACUUNUCAUAUCCAGGAAAUGGAGCAAGAGAAAAGCCAAGCAAAAGACAUCCUUUUACAGCACCCUCGACACCUUUUCACAGGACAGGUUUAAUGAGGCUGAGUCCUGCCAUGUUGUCCAUGCUGGCCAUGAACUCUUGCCCCAGCAUCCCAAGUACCAGGCCUACACAUCUCUGCUCAGGAGUGUAUUGGGCCUGAGGAGCUCUGCUGUGAGAUAGCUGCCAUAGAGAAGAUCGGAGGACCUGGUUCCUAGAUAAUUCCGGAAGUGACAUCCUGAUUCACCUCUCCAUACCAUAGAGCUGGAAGGGGUUGCUGUCAGGGGUCCAGGAACUCCUCAGCCUAGAAAGGAAAGCUAGCAGUGACCAACUGGGAGGGGAACAAGAGCAUGUGGCUGGAUUGGAUGUGGCCACGAAGGUUACAUCUGGCCUGGUCUCCUGACCUCCUGAAACCGGGGUCUGAGUCUCUCCUGUGAUCCCUGCCAGCAUCCAUGAGGCAGGCAAGAAAAAGAGUGCUUUGUGAAGGCCCUGCAGCAGAAGACAGACACAGAAGUGGAGCUUCACGAAGAAGCUUGAUCCCAGGGCCACUGGAGUCUGAGGACCAGUGGAUGGAGAACCAUGAUAA